UCUCCUUAAUCCGGGGUCCUACGUGGCCUAUCUAAGAAUUCAAGAUUUAAAAUCCCUGCAAUUCUAGAGCUUCUGGCAUAAUAUUAGUCAUCCUAUGUGGCAAAAUAUAUCCUACAUGGCAUAUCUUACUUUAAACAAUCUCUUAAAACACAAAAUGAAUAUUUCUCUUCCUCAAAUUCAAUUUCCCUAACCCCCGUCUCCACACAGCUCUCCCCUCCCCCGUCUGAUUCGCGUCAUCGCCGCUGCAGGCGUCGUCGCUCCAUCUCCACACCAGACUCCCCCUUCGGCCCUUCCCUGCCCCUAUUCGCCGGCGGCGUGGCCACAGUCCAGCCCCAAGUUGCGCCGCCGCCCCUUCCUCCUAUCGUUUCUCUGACCUUUCUGCAUCUCCACACCAGCCGCUGCAUCGCUAGAAAUCCCUUCCCCCGCAAGCCCUCCGAUCUGCAUCGCCGCCUCUUUCUUUCUUCAAUCGGCGGCUCCACCCCCCACCGCUCUCUCCGCCGCACAUUCACCAAUCCUGCGCUCUUAAUCCUCCACCAGAUUUCCACCAACUGCACUCGGAUUCCAGUCGCCACCGCCGCCUUCACCGCGCCGGCCACCUCCCUUCCCCCGCAAGCCCUCCCAUCUGCAUCGCCGCCUCUUUCUUUCUUCAAUCGGCGGCUCCAUCCCCCACCGCUCUCUCCGCCGCACCCGCAGCCUCAGCCGCUUCUCCCGCCCCAUUGCGCCGGAGCCGGAGGCCGAGAUGGACUACAUCAAAAACGUGCCCAGGGGAAAAUUCGUCAACACCACGAGGGGCUCGACCUCGCUGGCACCAACCGCGAAUCGCCGAGCCCCUAGAUCCCCAAAGUCUCACCGCCUCUUUGUGAUUUCCGGCGAACUCGGCAGCCAUGUCCGCCGAUCUGCCACCUCCCUUCCCCCAUAUGAUUUUUUGUUUAGAGGAUUAAGGGAUUGCUUACUUCCCUGUUUUGGCGGGUGGCGGCUGGAAAUUUUUUAGACAUUAUCGUACACAAACAGGAAGAAAUUAUCUUUAUAUGACCACGGUUUGUGAUUUGAUAAAGUUCAUCGAUUCAUCACUCAAAUAAAUAUGAAUAAUUGUGCAGGGAUAACAUAGCUGAUAAUGCUAAUCUUGAUUGUUUUGUAUAUAAUUGAGGUGGCUUGAUCUUGAUGGGUUGGCGCUAAUCUUGAUUGUUUCGUUGCAGUCACUGGUGGUCUAGGUCUAGCUGAACAGCUUGCUUUAUUUUCAUUUGACCUUAAAUCUGGUGUUCUGUUGCUAUUUAAGAUGUAAUCAUGCAGAUACCACAAAAAAAUACAGUUGCUCGAAGGUUUUAGUUUGGUAUCAAAUAUUCACAAGUCUUUUUCAUUCUAGAAUCUGUGUGUGUCUCUGUGAGUGCCUAUCCUCAUAUUCAUCUACGGUAUUGGAACAUUAGACCUUUUGUUUCGUAACUUUCCAGUUUUAUGUUUGUCCUCAGCUUUUGAUUUUAGUUUGGGAGCAAUUUGAUUCAAGAAUCAUCUUUUAUUCAAGAAUGAUUCAAGAAUGAUUGUAUAGCUAUGUGUAAUGAUUCAAGAAUGAUUUAUUUGAGACAACAUUUCAGUCUUAACUUUCUUUCUCUGUUUGUUUCUUUCUCUGUUGUGGCCUAAUAUCUGUAUUUUUCUUUGUAGUUGCCUGGCGAUAACUCAAGAAUAUUCAAGGGUUGGAAUGAUUGUCUUUUAUCUAUCCAUCUAUCUAUCUAUAUAUUGAUCAUUUAAACGGAGUUUCUCUUUUCCCCAUAUCUCAAAGAAAAUGUAACCUCAUAUUUUUUUAGAUCAAGGAUAUAUCUAUAGUUGGGGAGAAAUUUAUUUAUUUCGCUACCCACUCAAAAAUAAUUACUACAUAAAACUCUCCCUCCACUCUUUACUGAAAUGAAUUAAUUUUUGCAUUUA